rnacentral:rRNA from 1 species
AACGAACGCUGGCGGCAGGCCUAACACAUGCAAGUCGAACGAUCCUUCGGGAUAGUGGCGCACGGGUGAGUAACACGUGGGAAUGUACCUUUUAGUGGGGAUAACAGUUGGAAACGACUGCUAAUACCGCAUACGUCCUUCGGGAGAAAGAUUUAUCGCUAAAAGGUCAGCCCGCGUCUGAUUAGCUAGUUGGUGAGGUAACGGCUCACCAAGGCGACGAUCAGUAGCUGGUCUAAGAGGACGACCAGCCACACUGGAACUGAGACACGGUCCAGACUCCUACGGGAGGCAGCAGUGGGGAAUAUUGGACAAUGGGCGAAAGCCUGAUCCAGCCAUGCCGCGUGAGUGAUGAAGGCCUUCGGGUUGUAAAGCUCUUUAGCAGGGGAAGAUAGUGACGGUACCCUGAGAAUAAGCCCCGGCUAACUCUGUGCCAGCCGCCGCCGUAA